rnacentral:lncRNA from 1 species
GGCCUGGAACCGGAACGGAGUGGUGGGGUGAUGGCAGCAUCAUGUUGUAGGGAAAUGCACUUAUGCCAGAUGUCACCGCUUCCUUUUGGAGCAGAGGCUGCCUGCGUUCCUUCGUGUUCACUUCCAUAAUCGCUUCUCUGGCAGGACAAUGAAAACAAACUGACCAACAAACAAGACCCUGAAUAUCACCUGACCACAAAAUUUGAAGCAACUCCAACGAACAGAAAAGU